rnacentral:rRNA from 1 species
UUCUUAUGAAUACAUUUGGUUUGGAAAGUAAGUGGAUUAAGCGGAGAAAAACAAAGAACAUGGCGGUUUUCUAUCAUAUUAGAGAGACAUGUAUUGAUUAAACGAAUUUGCACGAAGAAUUGUUCUUUUUCUUGUAGGGGGUUUCUUUAGUGAUGAGGGGUUCUCAUUUAUAUUUUACAUACCGCUGUCUGAAAGAUUUUUUGAAAAAAAAUAUCUUUUUUCUAAUAUGGAGAGGUGUUUGAGAUAAGGCAAGUAAAGGUGUAGAUGAUGAGGAAGAAAAUAUGUGUUUCAAUUUAAGGGAAUGGGGAGAAAAUUGGAAUUUUUCUAGAAAUAGAAUUUAAUAGUAAAGCAAGUUGAAUAUGUUUGCUUGAAUUGGAAAUGGAAAGUGUA